AUUGAACGCUGGCGGCAGGCCUAACACAUGCAAGUCGAGCGAGCGGCGGACGGGUGUGUAAUGUCUGUGAAACUGCCCCCUGGAGGGGGAUAUCUCCCCGAAACGGUAGCUAAUAUCCCAUACCAUCUGAUGUGCCCAGAUGGGAUUAGCGAGUAGGUGGGGUAACGGCUCACCCAGGCGACGCUCCCUUGCUGGUCUGAGAGGAUGACCAGCCACACUGGAACUGAGAGACGGCCCAGACUCCUACGGGAGGCAGCAGUGGGGAAUAUUGCACAAUGGGCGCAAGCCUGAUGCAGCCAUGCCGCGUGUGUGAAGAAGGCGUUCGGGUUGUAAAGCACUUUCAGCGGGGAGACGUUACCCGCAGAAGAAGCACCGGCUAACUCCGUGCCAGCAGCCGCGGUAAUAC
rnacentral:rRNA from 1 species